AGCCAGGAGGUGGGACUUUUAAGAGAGCUUCAGCUGCAGUAGUAUAGAGAGGAUCAGGUGGUGGGCGGAGCCCUAGAGCUCCCAAGAGAUUUUGUCCUUUGUCUUCAGCUACCAGAGCAGGUAAAGAAAGACCAUCAGGUAGAGGCAGGGUUAGGCAUUUUUGAGCUCAAAGUCUCCUUGGCUGGGGCUUGCUGUGGCUGCUGUAGGGGUUAGGGGUGUGGUUACCAAGCCAAUGGAGUUAUGUUCCCAGGGGAUUAUGGCUGCUUUCGCUGUGUCAUGCAGGUUACCAGGGAUGUGGGGGAAAGCCAGCAGUUACAGGCCUCACCUAGCUCCCCCGCAGCCCAAAAGUCUGGUCUCACUUCCACGGUGUCGCCACCAACAGCAUUGAGUUAAUUUCCAGGCAGUGGGUGAGAAGGGCUGAGAACUUGCCCCAGGCUACCAGCCUUGGGGAGGGGAGGCGGGGGGAGAAAGUAAGCAGGGCUUUCAGGUUUUGCACCUCCCUGCCUGCUGCAGCUUCUGUGCUAUGUCUGCACUUCCAAUUCACCUCCUGCCUCAGGUUCUGUCCAGAAAACUUAGCGCUUGGUUGAAAUUGUUACAGAGAUCAUCUGGAAGUUUCCUUCUCCCUGUGAUCUUUUCCUAGUUCCUCUGCAGCCCUCCUCAAGAACCCCUGUAAGACAAAGUCAGAAAUGGUUUUCCAGGGGACAAAGAGUGCCCACAGGGCUCUUCCCACUGUUUCUUUUACCGUUGUGUUUUGCUCGGCUCUCUAAAUUUGUCUCAGCUCCAGGGGCCUGCAACAGCAAUCUGCCUCCUUCAAAGGGUCUGUGGAUCCUCUUGGCUUUCCCGGUAUGUUCCUGUGGUAGUUCUUGGAGCAAAAGUUCACGAUGUGAGUCUCCACACACUGCUCUGUCCACUGGAGUGGGAGCUGCAAGUUAGUCCUGCCUCCAAUCUGCCAUUUUCCCCCACCUGAUCCAUCAUUCUAUUCUCUUUGUCUGAGGGGAAGGCUUGGAGCAGAUGGCAGAAGAAGCUGUUUAGGUAGCCUAAAAUGCAUUGUCAUUACAUUUGUCUGGAAGGCAAAGCCUGGGCUGGAGAUCUAGGCGGGAUCUGGCACAUCAUCACCACCUUUCCUGGUUUACUUAAAUGAAUUCUCAAGAUUAACUCUGAAGCCAUGGUAAAACAAAUAGAGAUCAUGUAUUGUUCUCCAAAGAUUCUCCAUCAUAUACUUGUAGAGCUGGUCUACACCAUGAUCUUGUCAUAGGGAAUAACAAAAUAGUAAGAGUGGGAUGUUAGAAUGAGAUCAACAAAUAACUUUACCUUUGAACAGAUGUUAAAUUGCAGUGUGUGGGGCUCAAUUUACUAUUAUCAAAUAUCUUCCCUAUAAAAAUACACAUUUAUCUGACUGGAAAGACAUUCAGAGUUUUAGGCAGACAAACAAAUGUAUGUGAACAUCUAACCUGCUUUAAAAUUCUGAACAUUUCUAUUAAACGCUGGGUCAAAAUUCUGGUUCUUGUUGAGUUGUCUUUUUUCUUCUUUGCAGCUCUCUCACUGGGCUUGACUAAAUGAAGAAGUUAGGUUUGUUGUCUGCAAUAAUCUAAGGCUUUUAGAAAACUCAACUUGGGAUGUCC
rnacentral:lncRNA from 1 species